GAGGGUAUAGUUCAAGUGGUGGAGUGCAUGUUUAACAUACACAGGUCCUGGGUUCAAUCCCCAGUACCCUCU
rnacentral:tRNA from 1 species